UUUUCCCAGCCUCUACUUCACCUGCCUCAGCACCAACAGCAAGAAUCUGAAAUUUAAAAGCAUUAUGGACUUGGCAUGUUGGCCCAUGUAAUUCUUUUUGAAUUCAGUCAUAUGUACUGAUACAUUAGAAGAUGUGCCUGUGUUUUGCUCACCUCCCCCAUGAGAUAUCGUUCAAAUUUGACAGCGGAUUUGGGCAACAACACUCCACCAGCUGAUUUCUAAAAACAAAACAUUCAUCCGUCAACAUGACAGAGCACAAUAAGGGGCAUGAUCAACAAUAUUCAACACUGCAGAAGCCAGAAAGUCAAAUUAGAGAAGUAACUAAAUAAAUAUUCAGACUAUGGGACUAGGUUUGCAGUUUGCAGUUUUGCACAAAAAAGGGUAUCUCCUCAUUACCAAAUUACCAACCAAUUUCAAACAUCCAAAAUUCGAGUAAGAACUUACUUUCAAGUUUCAAACAGUUCAGCCGAUGAAGAAUUGAAGAUGUCAGACACUCAAGAGUCUCACACCAGAUGAGAGAUCGAGACUCGAGAGUUCGAGUCUUUGUCUCUUUGACUUCGAGAUUAACUGAUGAUGACCGAUGAAAGGCCGUCGGAGCCGAUGAGGCGAUGCGCCGAUAGCAGUCGGUCGAUGAGAGUCGAGAGAUUGAGACAAGUUCGAGAUCUGGGUUUCGCCGUUUGGGACGAGAGAUUGAGAGUUCGACUGUUC
rnacentral:lncRNA from 1 species